rnacentral:tRNA from 3 species
GCGAGAAUAGCUCAGUUGGUAGAGCGCAACCUUGCCAAGGUUGAGGUCGCGGGUUCGAAUCCCGUUUCUCGCUCCA